GACGAACGCUGGCGGCGUGCCUAAUACAUGCCAGUUGAGCGCUGACGGUUGGUACUUGUACCAACUGGAUGAGCAGCGGACGGGUGAGUAACGCGUGGGGAAUCUGCCUUUGAGCGGGGGACAACAUUUGGAAACGAAUGCUACUACCGCAUAAAAACUUUAAACACAAGAUUUAAGUUUGAAAGAUGCAAUUGCAUCACUCAAAGAUGAUCCCGCGUUGUAUUAGCUAGUUGGUGAGGUAAAGGCUCACCAAGGCGAUGAUACAUAGCCGACCUGAGAGGGUGAACGGGCAAAAUUGGACCGGGACAACGCCCAAAACUCUACGGGGGGGAGCAGGAGGGGAUUUUUGGCAAAGGACGGAAGGCUGGCCGAGGAACGACGCGGUAGGGGAGGAAGGUCUCGGAUCGUAAAACUCUGUUUGUAGAGAAGAAAGUGGGGGAGAGUAAAAAGCUCAUCUAGUGACGGUAACUACACAGAAAGCGACGGCUAACUACGUG
rnacentral:rRNA from 1 species